rnacentral:lncRNA from 1 species
AAAAGCAUCGUACUAAAUACAUCUCCUAGAACCUGGUGUUUGUAAGCCACUGCUAUGCCCCUUCCACCACCACAAUCAUUACCGACACCACCAUCCCCAUCAUCAUCAUCACCAUCACCACCCUUGCCACCAUCAUCAUCAUCACCACCACCACCAUCCCCAUCAUCAUCAUCGUCACCACCACCAUCCCCAUCAUCAUCACCACCACCAUCAUCCCCAUCAUCAUCAUCACCACCACCACUACCACCAUCCCCAUCAUCAUCAUCACCAUCACCACCCUUACCACCAUCAUCACCAUCACCACUACCACCAUCCCCAUCAUCACCAGCAGUAAACCAUCUCUACUACCAUCCCUACCAUCACCACCAGCUAGUUUCCAAGAAUGAUCUCUGAGCCGUGAGUGGCUAUUCGAAUCACCAAUAUUAGGUAUGACUCAUUCAGUUGCAACACAGUUUGGUGCUACUUUUUCUCCUGAAACUCCU